rnacentral:lncRNA from 1 species
AUCAGCUGCAGGAGGUGGCUGCUCAGCUGAAAGCCUGUGGGGACAAAGGAGGAGACCCAGGACUCGCUGUAUCCGAGCCCCGAGAUGAUGACGUGACCUUAGAAGAUGGCAGAGCCACACAAUAGAAGGCGUUUGGGUUCCUGAAUCACUGUAUGAACAGAGCCACCCACAGAAUAUGAACAUCCUCCCUGGACUGUCAUAAUGAGUGAGGAAAAAACUUUACUGUGUUUGAGCCUUUAUAUAUUUGGGGUCUAUUCACUACUGCAGCUAGUGUUACCUUGAGUCAUUGGUGCCUUGAAUUACAGAACUGCCACAACGAAAUUCUAAAAUAUGUUAGCAGUUGAGCAAGAGGGAUCAUGGAACUGUUCGAGCUGGAAAAUGGUUAUCUAUGUUAUGCAGUGGCAAAACAUUGGGUAAAUCUGUUGCAUGUUGUUAUGGACUGAAUGUUUGUGGUCUCCCCUAAAUUCAUAUGUUGAAUCCUAACCCUCGAAGUAGUAGUGUCAGGAGGUGGGGCCUUUGGGAGGUGACUAGGUUGUGAGGGUGGAGCCCUCAUGGAUGGGGUUAGUGCCAUUAUAAAAGAGGCCCCAGAGAGCUGCCUUGCCCUCUUUCUACCAUGUGAGGACAGAGUGAGAAGGAUCCAUCUAUAAAUCAGAAACAGGGCCCUCCACAGAUAUAGGUACUGCCUGUGUCAUCUUCUUGGACUUCCUGGUAUCUAGAACUGUGAGAAAUAAAUUCCUGUUCUUUGUAAGCCACUCAGUCUAUGGUAUUUUUUUAUAGCCACCCAAAUAGACUAAGACAACUAUAAAAAUACAGAAGGCAGAACAAAUCACUACUGAGGCUGUGUUCUAUGGGAAAAGAAUGAAAAA